rnacentral:rRNA from 1 species
GAUGAACGCUGGCGGCGUGCCUAAUACAUGCAAGUCGAACGGGGAGUAGCAAUACUCUUAGUGGCGAACGGGUGAGUAACGCGUUGGUACCUGCCCCGAAGCGGGGGAUAACGGACCGAAAGGUCCGCUAAUACCCCAUGUGCUCGGUAACGAGUAAAGGUGAAAACCACUUUGGGAGGGGCCUGCGUCCCAUCAGCUAGUUGGUAAGGUAACGGCUUACCAAGGCGAUGACGGGUAGGGGACCUGAGAGGGUGGCCCCCCACAAUGGAACUGAAACACGGUCCAAAACCCCACGGGUGGCAGCAGGAGGGAAUUUUGGAAAGGGGCGAAAGCCUGAACCAGCAAGGCCGCGUGGGGGAUGACGGCCUUGGGGUUUUAAAGCAUUUUUGACUGGGACGGGGAAGGACGGUCCCGGUGGAAUCAGCCUCGGCUAACUACGU